rnacentral:rRNA from 1 species
GUAGGGUGCAAGCGUUAUCCGGAAUCAUUGGGCGUAAAGAGCUCGUAGGCGGUUCAGCAAGUCGGCUGUGAAAUCCCGAGGCUUAACCUCGGAACUGCAGUCGAUACUGCUGUGACUAGAGUCCGGUAGAGGAGAAUGGAAUUCCCGGUGUAGCGGUGAAAUGCGCAGAUAUCGGGAGGAACACCAGUAGCGAAGGCGGUUCUCUGGGCCGGUACUGACGCUGAGGAGCGAAAGCGUGGGGGUAGCAAACAGGAUUAGAUACCCUGGUAGUCCACGCCGUAAACGUUGGACACUAGGUGUGGCGUUCCGACCAACGGGUGCCGUGCCGAAGCUAACGCAUUAAGUGCCCCCGCCUGGGGUACGGCCGCAAGGCUA